GUCAGGUGACGCAUAACUGGCUCUUAAAGGGAAGCGCGUCGCGUCACGCUGUCAAACGCCUUUAAGGGGUCUGUGCGGGUUCACGGUUCAUCUGUCUGCAUUCUGCUACCAGAACACAGAGGUAGAUUCUCUGUCACGAUCUUUCAGUGAUAUCGGUUGAACAGACGGCAGUCAAAUUAUCGUGUAAUGUGAUGAUCUUCAAGAUUUUUUGAGAAUUCUAUUACAUUUUUUGACUUUUAUUGCUUUUUAUGUGCUCUGUGAAUAUGCUUCAUAUAAGCUAUAUUUAUCUUUUCGAUUGUGGAUCCUGCAUAGGCUACACCAUGAUCCUCUGCAUGUAGAAGAACAGUUUUUCCACAACAAACAGUUGAUCUGUUUUCUCAUGAAGAUUAUCUAGUAGGCCUAUUUACCAGCGAAAUAAUGUUUGUAAAUUCUACCAGUGAAUGCACUAAUCUUUAACUUCUUUCUGUGUCAAAAUAUUUUUCUUACACGUUCUUUCAUGGGUCUGCAUUAUGGGCCAGUCAGACGACCCAGAGGAAAGACAUCAUGGAUUGUGGAAGAGCUGAAAGAAAUGGUCCUGUGACUUAUAAACAGAGUCUGCAGGAACAGUACUGGAAAUUGGUAUUCUCUUUUCAUCUGAUCGACCCAAUUCCUCAUUUUCUGCUGAUGCAGUUGCUUCAGAGGGUCAACUGGGGUCAUGUGUCUCUUUUUACUCCUGUCCUUCAGUUCCUGAAAUAUUUUACUAUAAUGCUUGAUUGUUGUUUCAUCUCCCGCAAGUCUCUUUGUGCUCCCUCCAGGAUGUAAAGCUAUGACAGUUUCCUGUCAAUUGAGGCCAGAUGUCCCAGAUCGUUCUCAGUGAUGACUGAACCUUCAGAGUUGCUGUAUUUAGGGUUGUUCAUAGUCUCCUGCCACACCAUCUUGAAAUGAGAAUCUAUAAAUGCCUCCAGCUCCUCAAUGUCACUGUUACCCCAUUGGUCAAUUAGAUUCUGCAGGUUCUCCGAUUGGACAAAAUCCAUAAAGGCUCUUUUGCAGUUUGAGCUGUGUAAGGCGUAUUUUUGUGGUAAUACGCAAGGGAUGGCCCACAAAAUCUUUAAGAGCAAGAGCAAAUGUUCAGAGAUCUUAAUCGUUUGAUGCUCUCCUCGAAUGUCAGCUACAAAAACAGUAACAAACUUUAAACCAAUACCAACAUCCAAUAUCAUACUCAACUUUCAGACCUAUUCAAGCAGUGUUGGGGGUAAUGCAUUACAAGUAACAUGAGCUAUGUAA